UUAAGACGGUGAAUAGAUCUUAUUCAAGAAAUGGAGUGCCAUACAGAUUAUGGAAACCAUCUACAAUUCAACAAGAUGUUGAGUAUUGAUUCAACUUUUAGCCUGGGAGAUAAAAAGCUAAAGCCAAAGCUGUAAAUAGACAGGCCAGCUUAACAAGCGGACAUUCUCUGCUGCCGGCAGUACCAAUUUGUCAUCCAAGCAACAAAUAUUCCUUGGUAAUCUAUCAGAUAACAGUUUUCUCGUUGGCAUUUUUAUGAAUGAAAGCUUUCAAGGCCUAAUGUUUUGGUCAAGUUUCAGAUUUGUUUAGCAUAAUCCUGUACUACAUAUUAACAAAUGUUUGGUCUGUCUGGUUCAUCUCUUAACACUAUGAAGAUGGCUACACACUAUCAGCAGUGCACCCCUAUUGAUAUACGAGUCUUCAUUGCCAAGUCACUCUGCCAAACACCUUUCUUGCAAUGGUAGUGACCCACUUUACUGUACUUCAAUGACUUCAGGAGUCUGGAUAUGUCAGCCCAAGGUCAAGGAGAUCAAGUUUGUGUCCAAGGUUACUUAGGUAAUUCUCUAAGGACAAUAGACAGACACUACAUGUUGCUGAUCUGUGGGUUAGUGGCUCAAUCAUUGUGCAUUGAUUCUCCACUGUUGCCUUGAUUGCCACAAGUUUAUCUACGACCUACAGGUCAAGGGAGGUCAAUUAGACAUGAGGUCAAGAAAAAAGGAUGAACAUUUCAAGGCUGCAGUAAGAACAUUAAACAUCUUUCUCACUGUGAAAAGAUUCUACCGAUCUACAAAUGGUCAACAUGUUUUAUCUAAAGUUCAUCUGCCAUUUCUUCAAAUGGAGCCAUAGUCAGAAUAAGAGUGGAAAUCAAAGCAAGAGAAUCCCAGGCAGUGCACCAUUCCUUCAUUAGGAAGAACUGUUUCCACAAGCAUUAAUUUUAGAUUAUUUUCAAAAAUAUUUGUAGGACCUAUUUUUCUUGUUAGUACACUAGGCAUUAGUAAGUUUUAUAGGCCAAGCUUGAGUGCUGUAUCAAGCAUGGUCAUGCAAUCUUUAAGGCAAACUGUCACUUUGAGACAUUAUAUUUAACAGGAAGCGUGGUCGAGAGGCCAAGUGCGCUUGAACUUGGCUUGGCUUCGCUUCGCUACCUAGAAGGGGGCUCGAGGUUCGACACCCGACUCGGGCAGAGUUGUGUUUACUGAGCGCCUAAAGGCAGCACGGAAAACAAACUCCUAGAUACCCCCCCACCCGUCCACAAAUGAGAUUGGACCAAAAGCGCUCUGAGCAUGCUAUAAGCAUGAAAGUAGCGCUAUAUAAAAGCUAUAAUAAAAAAAUUAAAAAAAAACAGCACUAAAUAAAUAAAAUUAUUUCUCGUAAUUCCUAUUUGUGCUCUAGAUUCGCUGUAUGUUUUCUGAUCAGAAGAUGGUUAUUCCAGGUUGAACCUAUUAGAAAUUAUUAAAAAAACAUUUCUUUCUUUAUUUUUUUUAACCCUCAGAUUAUUUUUCACUGGCAAUGAGGAAUUGUGAUUGGAAAGCUCUUUACUUCAUGUCUAUUGGACAAGAAUUUUAGAAAUCUGUGCAUGUGUUAUCCAUUGUUUAAAAUGUUUUAUAAUAAAAUUUCAUUUUAAAAAUGUUUUUAUAUAUAUACUGUAUUAAAUUGUUAAAUGUAUGAUUACUGUUUCCUAAACUAAUUGUGAUUGGAAAGCUCUUUACUUCAUGUCUAUCGGACAAGAAUUUUAGAAAUCUGUGCAUGUGCUAUCCAUUGUUUAAAAUGUUUUGUAAUAAAAUUUCAUUUUAAAAAUGUUUUUAUAUAUAUACUGUAUUAUAUUGUUAAAUGUAUGAUUACUGUUUCCUAAACUAGGUCUAGUAAAUUAUAGUAGAGAUACAAAAGAUGCUUUGUUCAGAUAAAUAAUUUGUCUAGAUAGUGUUUAUAUAUAUAUUUUUAUUCAUUAUCCCAAAGAGCCAUUUCUUAAACAGGGCACUUUUUUUUGGGACUUGUCUAUUGUUGACAUUUACAUUUUUUUAAAGCAUGAGAUGAUGCCAAAGUGUGUGUUGGGUUUAUUUUGCAAGUUUUUGAGAAUCAAAAUUUUAAUUUUACAUGUAUACACUAAUUUAAAGGAACUUUUUGAACGAAAGUGCCUAAGAAAAAUUGAAAAAAUCAUGGAAGACAGCGGCCACCCGCUCCAUCAGAACUACGUCAGGUCGUCGCGAAGUGGGCGACUGCUGUCAAUCAAAACAAGAACGGAACGGUACAAAAACUCAUUAGUACCUCACUCCUUCAGACUCUAUCACCGCCACUCAUUGAUCAGGGAACAUGAAAAGCACCAAGAUACCUGUGUGUAGUCGCUGAAUGAACUCUAUGUUGUCUGUUGUAUUUAUGUGUAUUUUUCUGUUGUGUUGUCUUUAUAUGAGAAAAGAGUCCUUGUAAUCACAAGAAGUUUCCGUAAAGAUCAAUAAAGCAGUCUUAGUCCUAGUAUUAGUAUUAGUCUUAAUUUUAAUUUAUAUUGAAAUGAAAAGCAUUUAAACAUUGAUUACCAAAAUAUUAUUGUACAAUAUGAAAUCUAGAUGAAAUUUGUUAUCAGUUGUUAAAUAGCUUACAUUCAUCAUUUUCUCAUUAUGUAGAUACAACACUUAAAAUGGUUGUACAAACCACUAAAGUAUGUAAAAUUUUGUUUAAAUUAUGUG